rnacentral:rRNA from 1 species
GGGUGAGUAACGCGUGGGAACGUACCUUUUGGUUCGGAACAACACAGGGAAACUUGUGCUAAUACCGGAUAAGCCCUUACGGGGAAAGAUUUAUCGCCGAAAGAUCGGCCCGCGUCUGAUUAGCUAGUUGGUGAGGUAAUGGCUCACCAAGGCGACGAUCAGUAGCUGGUCUGAGAGGAUGAUCAGCCACAUUGGGACUGAGACACGGCCCAAACUCCUACGGGAGGCAGCAGUGGGGAAUAUUGGACAAUGGGGGCAACCCUGAUCCAGCCAUGCCGCGUGAGUGAUGAAGGCCCUAGGGUUGUAAAGCUCUUUUGUGCGGGAAGAUAAUGACGGUACCGCAAGAAUAAGCCCCGGCUAACUUCGUGCCAGCAGCCGCGGUAAUACGAAGGGGGCUAGCGUUGCUCGGAAUCACUGGGCGUAAAGGGUGCGUAGGCGGGUCUUUAAGUCAGGGGUGAAAUCCUGGAGCUCAACUCCAGAACUGCCUUUGAUACUGAGGAUCUUGAGUUCGGGAGAGGUGAGUGGAACUGCGAGUGUAGAGGUGAAAUUCGUAGAUAUUCGCAAGAACACCAGUGGCGAAGGCGGCUCACUGGCCCGAUACUGACGCUGAGGCACGAAAGCGUGGGGAGCAAACAGGAUUAGAUACCCUGGUAGUCCACGCCGUAAACGAUGAAUGCCAGCCGUUAGUGGGUUUACUCACUAGUGGCGCAGCUAACGCUUUAAGCAUUCCGCCUGGGGAGUACGGUCGCAAGAUUAAAACUCAAAGGAUUUGACGGGGGCCCGCACAAGCGGUGGAGCAUGUGGUUUAAUUCGACGCAACGCGCAGAACCUUACCAGCCCUUGACAUGUCCAGGACCGGUCGCAGAGAUGUGACCCUCUCU